CAUCUCCUGCUCCUCCUGCUCCUCCUCAUCAGCGACUCAGAGGAAUAAAUCAUCUGUGUGUUUGUGUCGGAGUUCUGAGGAGGAGGAGGAGGAGGAGGAGGAGGAG